rnacentral:lncRNA from 1 species
UAUGAUUGGGUGAACAUUUUAACAACUAGAUGAACUUUUGACAUAUCGACUCCCCCAUCGGCUUUGUACUUUACAAUAAAGACCCACUUGCAACCUAUUAUCUGCUUUCCUUCUGGUAAUAUUGUAAACAUUUGCAGCAAAUAUUGAUACAACUUGACAUGAAAAAUGCUUUCUUAAAUGGGGAACCUACAAAUGAAGUCUACAUGGAUAUAAAUCAAUGACUCAUCAAGUGGAAAAAGCAUGGUUAAACUGCAUCACCUUACUACGAUUAGUGCAUUUUAUUUUUUGCUUUGUCUGGGUGAAAUUGCCUUGGCAACAAAUGCCUAUCUAUUUUUACAAAAGUAGAUAUGAUCGGGGUGGAUAUAUGAAUUAAGUCAAUGUAUCUAUAUACGAAGAGGAUGUUUUUAUUUUAGAUCUAACUAAUUACAUGAAUUACCUUAAACGGUUCAGAUCAAAUUGGGUGGCUGCUAGGGUUAGUGAUUGAUAUCGCUCAAGACCCUAGUGUUGUUCAUUCUUUUACUGUAAACUGAUGACUAUAACCUUUAUGUGGACUACAUUGUUCAAAAGGUUGGAUAAGUUACGAAUUGUAGUUUGGGAUAAAACUGUAAUGUAUACAUAAUACAUGUGUAAAUCUGAAGGUCUAAUAGAUUACCGUCAGGAAUACAGAGGAGGAAAGUAACUCAAUGACAUUGGACUAAGUAGUUUUUAAAUUUUUAAUUGGAUGUUAUCCAUGAAAAUAUGGAUAAUUUUCGUUGGGAAGGUUUUAUCAGGACUCAACCAUAUUAGGGAUAUUGAAGAUGAACUAGUCAAUUAACUGAUUCCACACCAGUAUUUUGCUUAUGCCAACUUGUUUUGAUAUUAGACUUUACUUUUGAAUAGUCGUUGAAAGGGGUUUAACAUUCCAAUUUGAUGGCUUCAAAGGUGACCUCACAAAUAGUUGUCGCAUUUCAGCAGAAUCCUCGUACCUAUUACCUUCAUUUUUCUUUUUACAACAAGGGCUAUUACCUAGUGCUUCACCAGCUAAGGGAAAAAGUCUAUUACUUGUCUCAAAUCACCAAAACCCAUU